AACGAACGCUGGCGGCAUGCCUAACACAUGCAAGUCGAACGAGACCUUCGGGACUAGUGGCGCACGGGUGCGUAACGCGUGGGAACCUGCCCUUAGGUUCGGAAUAACUCCCCGAAAGGGGUGCUAAUACCGGAUAAUGUCUUCGGACCAAAGAUUUAUCGCCUUUGGAUGGGCCCGCGUUGGAUUAGCUAGUUGGUAGGGUAAAAGCCUACCAAGGCGACGAUCCAUAGCUGGUCUGAGAGGAUGAUCAGCCACACUGGGACUGAGACACGGCCCAGACUCCUACGGGAGGCAGCAGUGGGGAAUAUUGGACAAUGGGCGAAAGCAUGAUCCAGCAAUGCCGCGUGAGUGAUGAAGGCCUUAGGGUUGUAAAGCUCUUUUACCCGGGAUGAUAAUGACAGUACCGGGAGAAUAAGCUCCGGCUAACUCCGUG
rnacentral:rRNA from 1 species